rnacentral:rRNA from 1 species
AUUGAACGCUGGCGGCAUGCUUUACACAUGCAAGUCGGACGGCAGCGGGGUAGUGCUUGCACUACUCCCGGCGAGUGGCGAACGGGUGAGUAAUAUAUUGGAACGUACCGAGUAAUGGGGGAUAACCAAUCGAAAGAUUGGCUAAUACCGCAUACGCUCUGAGGAGGAAAGCAGGGGACCUUCGGGCCUUGCGUUAUUCGAGCGGCCAAUAUCUGAUUAGCUAGUUGGUGGGGUAAGGGCCUACCAAGGCGACGAUCAGUAGCGGGUCUGAGAGGAUGAUCCGCCACACUGGGACUGAGACACGGCCCAGGCUCCUACGGGAGGCAGCAGUGGGGAAUUUUGGACAAUGGGCGCAAGCCUGAUCCAGCCAUGCCGCGUGUCUGAAGAAGGCCUUCGGGUUGUAAAGGACUUUUGUUAGGGAAGAAAAAGGAGCGGUUAAUACCCGUUUCUGCUGACGGUACCUAAAGAAUAAGCACCGGCUAACUACGUG